rnacentral:lncRNA from 1 species
GAGAUGACAUCUCUUCAGGAUGGUGUAGAGACGUGGGCGGAGUGUGCAGGGCUGGCGUGCAAGGGGUGGGGACACGUUGCAUCCAUGGUGCUGUUUGUGCAGGUGGCCUCCAGGAGGGCAGUUUCCAGAGAUGAAUUUCCUUCCCCUUGCCCAGCCCACCACUGCCCAGCCCUGUGGGCUCUGAGGCUGACGGAGAGAGACCUGCCACACCCCGGGACACUCUGGAUCGAAGCCACCCAGCGUCAGAGCUUGGACGAUCAAGGUGGACCUACCCGCUCAGAAAGACAGUGGCGCUUCUGUCAAGGGAGACCUCAACGACCUUCCUCUGAAAAGAAAAAUGUCCUUGCAAGUAGGUAAAUGA